rnacentral:lncRNA from 1 species
CCUACACACACACACAGGCAACAAUAACUUCAUUCUCGCCCCUACUUCCACAACCAUCACAAACAAAACAUACACAACAGAUGGACUACAUUCCACCAACUUAUCAUGAUCACAAAAAAUAACGAAUUAAUAGAACACAUCUACAAACACAUGGAUAUUAAUGAAUCCAAUUAUUAUGUCACACCAACCACAAAUAUACUGGCACGCAUAAAAGUUUUCAAAGUUACUCAAAGCGACUACAAAAUUUUAAAAUCUAGAUAUCCCCAGUUUCAAAAAAGACCUCACUAUCAGAUAUUACAAGGAACUGCUAGAGAAAAAACUUCACAUCCAACGAGAGGGACGGAGUAGGCACUCCCGCUCUUCUACAAAGCCUUGGUAAGUAGCUCUCUCCUACUUUCACACAUUCCCAUCGUCCAACAUGGUAUUGUUUAGAAUCGGCAGUAUAAAUGUACACGGCCUGGGAUCGUCAUGGAAGCAAGGUCGCUUGCUCAAUGGCCUCAGGUGGCGAAAAUUAGACGUAAUAGCUGCCAGUGAGACCAGGAUCUCGGACAUGCACGCCUUAGCACCCAUUUUCAAUAAUUAUGAGAACUUUUGCAUCACUUAGUCGACCGGGAAUGGGGGAGGCGUUGUUGUUCAGAAAAGGUCUGGAUCUUGAGAUACGGUCGGUCUUCUUGAACCUGGAAGAUAGGAUGGUGGUCCUGAACGUGAAUGAUAACGAAAACAGUGCCUUUAGACUGGUUGCUGUGUACGCACCGACUGGAGCGGGACAGCCGGAUUUCUUUAGACGCUUGGAGGUCUUUCUUAGGACGUCUCGCUCCUUAGUGCUAGUGGGCAACUGGAAUGCCAUCUUGGAUGCACAUGUGGAUUGGGUGGGGCUAGCCGACAGGAAAGGUGGGUGCGCAAGCCUCACAAACCUGAUCAGUCGUUUCCAGUUGGCUGACAGGUUCAGACUAGAUUUCCCAAAUGCCCCAAUAUGGACGUGGGCAAAUAGUAUUGAGUCAUCUAGAUCUUAUCUAGAUAGGGUAAUUUGCAGACCAGCAUAUGUUGCCCACAAUUUGAAAUUGUCAGCUAUACAGACCACAAAUUUGUGAUCUAUAUGAUCGACCUAGGUAGGAUCCGUAGGCAGGGCCGCCCCCCCCCCUGGAUACUGGAAGCUAAACGCGUCUUUCUUGGCACGCCAAGCUUUCACUGAGCGGAUUAGUAAGUUAUUCCAUCGAAAACUGACGGGUGCAGUCGCCAACAACCGAUUGUGGGCAGCCGUAAAUGAGCGGUUAGAGUAGAAGCGGUAGGAUUUAGCAGGGAAUUAGGAAUAGAGAAUACUAAAGUAGAGGGAGAACUAGUUAAAAAAUUAGAAGAGGCAUUCAGUAGAGGCAUGGCGACUGACGAAGGUUGCAUUGUCAGAGCUAAGACACACUAGGGAAUGAAGCCCGUUCGAUGGGCCUGAGGCCCAACGUGGUAAUAAAACCACAAUUCGGUCUUUGAUGGGUAGGGAUGAGCGCAUGCUAUAUGAGUCCAAGCAGAUUUGUACGGAAUUUCAGCAGCACUUUACUGAAUUGUACGAGGCGCGCGGUGAUUCGGAGGCGGAGAUGAACUUUACCUCCAAUCUCGACAGACUGCCGCGGCUUUCGGCCUGGGAUGUGGAGUUCUGCGAAAUGCCGAUAACAGCAAAUAUUAUAUGUGACGUACUGGACAGUUGCACAAGGAAAAAAGUCUCCGGGAUUUGAUGGUCUGGCCUUGGAGCUUUAUAUUCAUACGCCAGACUUGUUUGGUGAGAUUUUGGUAGAUGUCUACCGAAACUGGUAGCAGAACGGGAGAAUCCCCAGAUCUGUGAGUCGAGGUGAGGUGACGCUGCUACGAAAGGAUUCGAACAAGGGGGUAUUAUUGAUAACUUUAGGCCUGUAACUCUACUAAAUGCAGAUUAUAAAAUUUUAGCCGAGGUGUUAGAAAAGAGGUUGACGCUUGUCGUGGCCUGAUGUACAGACUUGCGCUAUCCCCAACAAAUCUAUCCACGACGACUUCCACCUUACGCGAUACAUCAUAGAGAGGGUUGGUAAAGAACCUGGCAUGGGUGGGGGCCCUGAUCGAUUUGGAUCAGUCGAAAGCCUUCGUUAGAGUCGACCAUCGGUACUUUCAGGCUGUCCAAAGGUGGCUGGCUUCGGUCCCGUUUUCAGAGGGUGGAUCACGGAAAUGUACAGCGACAUCUGUUCUGUGGUCAAAGUAAAUGGCCACAUGUCGUAAUCGUUUGGCAUCACCCGUUCAGUCCGUCAAGGAUUCCCACUCUCACCCCUUCUCUACGUACUGGUGCUCCAGCCAUUACUGCGGAAUCUAGAUGUUUCGAGGGGCAUCUUGCGUGAGCUAAGAUGCGAAAGAGGUGUCUCAGCGUAUGCGGACGAUGCCACCGUGAUAGUGCCGGAUGUCUCUGAAAUAGAGAUGGUCGGUACUACCCUAAGGGAAUACGAAGUGGUGACAGGAGAAAUCAGUGGGCCUACUGCUCGGCACC